UUUUUGAAGCUUGUAGUUUCUAAAAAAUGUGUAAUAUUUAUAUCUAUGUGACUAUUGAAAUUGAUUCAACUUUCUAUGUAUAGAAGAAAAGAAACAGCAACAAUUUUUUAGGAAAUUGAUGCAAGACUUUCUAGAAAGAUGCCUGAAUGAGUUACUUGCAAGUUGCUUCCUUCAUUUUUACUGGUCCAUUAUUUUAAAAAUAAAUUUUUAUUUUUACCUAUCUAUAUAUUAUUAAAAGAUGAGGACAAAGCCUAUAUAUUAAGCCAAGUGACAUCCCAAAAAUAAGCCACGUGGUAGUCUAGGACAAAAAAUGGUUAGAGUAGUUAUUAGUUACUAAGAACUAUUUUUAAUUUGCUUUUAACAUUUUUAAAAUUAAAUUCAAAUUUUGACAGAUUGUUUACAGUAUUUAGUUUUUCUUUUAAAAAAAUAUAUAAAAUUUAUGUAAGAUGAGUUUGACUCCUAAUAUGCUGCUAACUGCCGUCUACUUUUUAAAUUUAAAACAUAUUCAACUUCAUACAAUUAUCUUAAAAUUUGAUUGUAAUUAUACUUUGUAAAACAAUGUUAUCGCAAAAAAAAAAAAAACGGUUACACUUUCUACAGUUUUUCUCCUCUUAACUUUUACGCCAUUUGUUUCAAAAUCCAACAGCGUCUACGGCUACUGGAAUAACCAAGUUACUAUUUAAAAUUUUGAAUAAGACGAUGGGCAGUAAUGGGUGAUUUUUAAGGAUUGUAGUGACUCAUUUUUCCAUUUGUUGAUAAUUGUGAUGUAAUCUCCAACCGCGCCUCUAACAAUCCAAAUGCACAUUGUUGUUGCUUAACAAGGAAAGUGGAUUUUACCGGGUAAAAAACUAUUGCAAUAGAAAAAAAAAUACAAUUAGAUUGUUCCAAGAUGUAAAUGCUUCAAGAAGGAUUCUAUCAUUGGAGUGCCUUAUUGCUCGAAUUUUCAACUGCCGGGCACGAAGACAAUUUCUCUAUAACAAGGUGUUUGGGUUCUUACGCUUCAACAAGUAUUGUUGUCAAGAUUUUGCUUAAUUAUAAGUUCAUUCAACUUAAUGUUUAAAAAUGUUCAAAUCAUAUGGUUUAUGCAGCAUUGUAACUAUUUUUUAUAUUUUGUCAACAUUCUGUAUUGAUUAAGUAAUUUUCUAUAAAA